AUCAAGCUCAAAUUUGUAGGCUUUGAUUUCUGACGUGUAAGUGCUCACGCUAAAAAUUUAAUAAUCAGCUCUCUAGUCAGCUGGAGUUGACUCUAACACACAUUGCUUAAGAGGGAUGUAGAUAUAGACAGCUAAUGUAACAAACCAACAGAUUUCACUGAGUCAAGCAUUUAAAAAUAGUUAGAUGAUGCCUUAACAAAAAUUUGCUGUUACUUUCUAAAGAUUUUAACUUGGCUAAAGUUCUUUCCAGGACUAAGCCAGCUAGGAAGUACUCUUUUUCCCCCUCAUAGUGCUUUAUUUUUAAUGGUAUGAUUCUCUUUACUAUGGCUAAUUCUGAUUAGUCUGCUAAAUUCUUCUAUGAAUUUAAUCUAGCAAUCAAUGGCACACACAGACCUCACAGCAUAUUACUUUAAUAGAUUAUUCCAAAAUCCUUUCCUUGAGAACUUUAUUGAUCUUUCAUCUCUAUUUCAUAUUUACCAUUCUUGGGACCUAUUUUACCUCUUCAUUAUGUCUGCAACCUCUUCUCCUAAAUAAAUAUACUUUUUGGCAAAGAGGAUGGCCACUGUGAAUUGUCCACAUGCUUAUUUAGAACUAAGAAUUGCUACCCUCAACUCUUCACUUAGUGCUUGAAACCCAUGACCUUCUCUUUGCCAAAAUAAGAAAUAUUUCUUUUUGUUCCAAAGAUUCUGAUUCCCCAGAAGAAGUCUUCUUUGCAAGAGUGAUGUAUAUUUAUGCACAUGACAAAACAACACAGUGGAUAUGUCUAACCAAGUAUGUCUUAUUCCAUACCUGCAGUCCACUUACUCCCUGCCAAGAAGAGGGAGGAAUGUUUUACCUUUCUUCCUUUGGAGUCAAGAUUGGUUAUUUUAUUGGCCAGAAUCCUGACGUCUUUCCAUUUUUGUUUUCUAUUAUUGUUACUUCAAGAAUUUCACAGAUCAGAGGUCAUGGAAUCUGAGCUGGAAGAAAUUUCUGCUAGCAUGUAGUCCACUGUAGCUGAACAGAAAUCCUCUGGAAAAGUUCUACAACAAGGAUUUAUCCCAUCUCUUUUUGAAGACAACCAGGAAAAGAAACUCCCUACCUUCUUUGCCAGUCACUUUUGUUCAGUCUAAUUGUUAUGACAUUUUUCUUCAUCUAGGAGUUUUCCUACAAUGGAAUAUAAAUAAACUACUAAAAUAACCUGAA